rnacentral:rRNA from 1 species
AGGUUAAGUUAUUAAGGGCGCAUGGCGGAUGCCUUGGCACUAGAAGCCGAUGAAGGACGGCACUAACACCGAUAUGCUUUGGGGAGCUGUAAGUGAGCUUUGAUCCAGAGAUUUCCGAAUGGGGGAACCCACUGUUUUUAAUAGAACAGUAUCUACACGUGAAUUCAUAGCGUGAUGAUGGCAGACUCAGGGAACUGAAACAUCUAAGUACCUGAAGGAAGAGAAAGAAAAUUCGAUUCCCUUAGUAGCGGCGAGCGAAACGGGAAGAGCCCAAACCAAGGAGCUUGCUCCUUGGGGUUGUAGGACACUCUAUACGGAGUUACAAAGGAACGAGUUAAAUGAAGCGGCAUGGAAAGGCCCACCAAAGAAGGUAACAGUCCUGUAGUUGAAAGUUCGUUCUCUCCAGAGUGUAUCCUGAGUACGGCGGAACACGUGAAAUUCCGUCGGAAUCUGGGAGGACCAUCUCCCAAGGCUAAAUACUCCCUAGUGAUCGAUAGUGAACCAGUACCGUGAGGGAAAGGUGAAAAGCACCCCGGAAGGGGAGUGAAAGAGAUCCUGAAACCGUGUGCCUACAAAUAGUCAGAGCCCGUUAACGGGUGAUGGCGUGCCUUUUGUAGAAUGAACCGGCGAGUUACGAUCCCGUGCGAGGUUAAGCUGAAGAGGCGGAGCCGCAGCGAAAGCGAGUCUGAAUAGGGCGUUUAGUACGUGGUCGUAGACCCGAAACCAGGUGAUCUACCCAUGUCCAGGGUGAAGUUCAGGUAACACUGAAUGGAGGCCCGAACCCACGCACGUUGAAAAGUGCGGGGAUGAGGUGUGGGUAGCGGAGAAAUUCCAAUCGAACCUGGAGAUAGCUGGUUCUCCCCGAAAUAGCUUUAGGGCUAGCCUUAAGUGUAAGAGUCUUGGAGGUAGAGCACUGAUUGGACUAGGGGUCCUCAUCGGAUUACCGAAUUCAGUCAAACUCCGAAUGCCAAUGACUUAUCCUUAGGAGUCAGACUGCGAGUGAUAAGAUCCGUAGUCAAAAGGGAAACAGCCCAGACCGCCAGCUAAGGUCCCAAAGUGUGUAUUAAGUGGAAAAGGAUGUGGAGUUGCUUAGACAACUAGGAUGUUGGCUUAGAAGCAGCCACCAUUUAAAGAGUGCGUAAUAGCUCACU